GACGAACGCUGGCGGCGUGCUUAACACAUGCAAGUCGAACGGAAAGGCCCUGCUUUUGUGCGGUGCUCGAGUGGCGAACGGGUGAGUAACACGUGAGUAACCUGCCCUUGACUUUGGGAUAACUUCAGGAAACUGGGGCUAAUACCGGAUAGGAGCUCCUGCUGCAUGGUGGGGGUUGGAAAGUUUCGGCGGUUGGGGAUGGACUCGCGGCUUAUCAGCUUGUUGGUGGGGUAGUGGCUUACCAAGGCUUUGACGGGUAGCCGGCCUGAGAGGGUGACCGGCCACAUUGGGACGGAGAGACGGCCCAGACUCCUACGGGAGGCAGGAGUGGGGAAUAUUGCACAAUGGGCGGAAGCCUGAUGCAGCAACGCCGCGUGCGGGAUGACGGCCUUCGGGUGGUAAACAGCUUUCGCCUGUGACGAAGCGUGAGUGACGGUAAUGGGGAAAGAAGCACCGGCUAACUACGU
rnacentral:rRNA from 1 species